rnacentral:rRNA from 1 species
GCUCAGGAUGAACGCUAGCUACAGGCUUAACACAUGCAAGUCGAGGGGUAGCAGGGUAGCAAUACCGCUGACGACCGGCGCACGGGUGAGUAACACGUAUCCAACCUUCCCAUAACUCGGGGAUAGCCUUUCGAAAGAAAGAUUAAUACCCGAUAGUACUUAUAUAAGGCAUCUUAAAUAAGUUAAAGAUUUAUUGGUUAUGGAUGGGGAUGCGUUCCAUUAGAUAGUUGGUGAGGUAACGGCUCACCAAGUCUUCGAUGGAUAGGGGUUCUGAGAGGAAGGUCCCCCACAUUGGUACUGAGACACGGACCAAACUCCUACGGGAGGCAGCAGUGAGGAAUAUUGGUCAAUGGGCGAGAGCCUGAACCAGCCAAG